rnacentral:SRP_RNA from 11 species
AGCGGGGCCGAUUCAGCAGCGCCCUGCCCCCCGCGGAGGAAGGCCGGAGGGACUUCGCG